rnacentral:lncRNA from 1 species
AUGAACGGGCCGGGAGCCCCCCGGGACCGCGCCGGCCCGUCGCCAGGCAGAGCCAGCCACGAGCCCGAGGCCGGCUGCUUGGCCACCGCCUGGGCUUCGAUCCCUGGCCCUGGGGAUGGCACCGGGCGCGUGGACCUGACGGCCAGCGAGGUGCUCCGUGUCACCACCCACCUGAGGAACAUCGACAGGAAAUUUCAGCGCUUCCGCGAGCUCUUCCGACAAGGAGAAGUUAUUUCAGCUUCUGCUGAAGCCAAGCUGGCAGAUUUACUGCAAGCCAUCUCCUCCUUCCUGAACACCUACCCUGCUUUGACUGGGGAUGCCAUCCAGCCUGCGGUAGCGACCCUUGUCGCCAAUAUCAAUGGGCGGUUUCUCGGCCGUCCGUUCGGUCUGUUGCGUUUCUCGGGAGGCAGAAUGUGCUCUCCGGUGUAG